GACGAACGCUGGCGGCGUGCCUAAUACAUGCAAGUCGAACGCAGUGGGGACGGGUGAGUAACACGUGGGUAACCUCCCAUCAGACGGGAUAACACUUCGAAACAGGUGCUAAACCCAUACUGAUGGAUGAACCCGCGGGGCAUUAGCUAGUUGGUGAGGUAACGGCUCACAAAGGACACGAUUCAUAGCCGGUCUGAGAGGGUGAUCGGCCACACUGGAACUGAGACACGGCCCAGACUCCUACGGGAGGCAGCAGUGGGGAAUAUUGGGCAAUGGACGAAAGUCUGACCGAGCAACGCCGCGUGAGUGAAGAAGGUUUUCGGGUCGUAAAGCUCUGUUGUUAGAGAAGCGGUAUCUAACCAGAAAGCCCCGGCUAACUACGUGCCAGCAGCCGCGGUAAUUC
rnacentral:rRNA from 1 species